rnacentral:ribozyme from 16 species
UUUUUUUUUUUUUUUUUUUUUUUUUUUCGCUUUUAACUGUUUGUAAUUAAUAUUAAACG